UACGUAGGAGGCGAGCGUUGUCCGGAGUUACUGGGCGUAAAGGGUGCGCAGGCGGCGGUUCGCGUGGCGAGAUGAAAUCUCCUGCUUACCUGGGAGGGUGGUCGCCAGACGGGAUCGCUUGAGGGUCGGAGAGGGGCGUGGAAUUCCGGGUGGAGCGGUGAAAUGCGUAGAGAUCCGGAGGAACACCGGUGGCGAAGGCGACACGCUGGGCCGUACCUGACACUGAUGCGCGACAGCAUGGGGAGCAAACAGG
rnacentral:rRNA from 1 species